rnacentral:lncRNA from 1 species
UCCUUCACUGUUAUAUAUCCCAAUUUGUAAUAUCUUCUCUCAUAAUAAUAAAAGGGAGUUGUUUUUGCUGUGCUCGGAGAUUAGGCUAAACAGGCCGAACUCCGUUAACAAUUUUCGGGUGUGUUUUUCCUCUUUAUCUCUUUUAUUAUUCCGCUUUAUUUAUUCAAUAUUAUUUGUCGGGUAGCUCUGUUAGGGUUUUGUUUUAGUGGGAAAAUUACCCGUUUUUCCCAAC